CCUUUCUGCUUGGUGACCUCCAGUGACAAAAGGCAGCCGCCUCCCCAGUCAGUUCCUCGCCUGGUGCCUCCCAACACUGUCCUGCUUCAGAACUGAGCUGGGAGCGCUUUGCCACCAUGGUGCGGCCGGUGGCCGAGAGCGGGGCCACCAAGACCGGCCGCGUCUACGGCUUCAUCGGCCUCUGCUGGCUGCUGGCCGCGCUGCUGGGGAUGCUGCCUUUGCUGGGCUGGAACUGCCUGUGCACCUUUGACCGCUGCUCCAGCCUUCUGCCCCUCUACUCCAAGCGCUACAUCCUCUUCUGCCUGGUGAUCUUCGCCGGCGUCCUGGCCACCAUCAUGGGCCUCUACGGGGCCAUCUUCCGCCUGGUGCAGGCCAGUGGGCAGAAGGCCCCACGUCCAGCGGCCCGCCGCAAG
rnacentral:sRNA from 1 species